rnacentral:rRNA from 1 species
CCGGCGCACGGGUGGAGUAACAACGUACUGCAACCUACGGCCGUCACAGGUGGAUAACCGGAAGAAAUUCCGACUAAUACAGCAUAACACUCCUGAGGGACAUCCUUCGGGAGUCAAAGGAGGCAACUCCGGUGACGGAUGGGCAUGCGGCGCAUUAGGUAGUUGGUAGGGUAACGGCCUACCAAGCCGACGAUGCGUAGGGGUUCUGAGAGGAAGGUCCCCCACAUUGGAACUGAGACACGGUCCAAACUCCUACGGGAGGCAGCAG